rnacentral:rRNA from 1 species
UGGUGGAGCGAUUUGUCUGGUCAAUUCCGAUAACGAACGAGACUCUAGCCUACUAAAUAGUUCGGGGACCCCCACAAAGGGGCCCCGCUUCAACUUCUUAGAGG